AAAAUUUUAUAAUUACAAAAUAAUAAUUCAAAACACACCACUUAUAACGAACUACAACACGAUUUCAUAAAUUAAAAGCAUCGUAGAACAAAACUAAAUCGAAUCAAACAUACCACUAUCCGGCUGUGUGCAGACCUAUGGCUUGUGGCCGGGAGAACUGGCGGCCAAUGCACGUACGAUGGGCGGGGGAAGCGACUGGCGACCGGCGGCCGGAGAUACGGAUGGUGGGCUAUGGGUGGAGGAGAGUUGCAGAGGGCUGGGGGUCUAGUCGUCUUUAACUACGGGAUUUAGGAUUUUAGGUGUAUGUAAUUUUAGAUCUGAAAUUGGAUUCCAGGUUAAAUAUAAUAGUGAAUGUCUAAAAUAGCAAGGAAUUGUCUCGAGUGGUGAGGGCAAGUUGUCAAUUUAUUGCAGUGGAUGUUUGGAGUUUGAUAAUUUUUUGGCUUCUUGUUUUAGAUCCUAUCGAUUACAUCUCCAUGAUGUCAAACAGCGGAGCAGAUCUCAAGAAU
rnacentral:lncRNA from 1 species